AUGCUGAAGCAACUUGAUCUGUCUUACAAUAACUUGGAAGGGUCUGUUCCUACUAGUGGGAUCUUUGAGAAAUAUGCUGCAGUAGUUCUGGGUGGCAACAAGGGACUCUGUUUAAAUUCCUCCAAGUUGAUAAAAAUAAGAAAUUCCUUCAGGCCAGCAUUACCAGUUUGUCCUCGCAUCUCAGCUUUAGUGACUAAAUCAAAACACCAUCUGUCAUUCCUGGCGACCUCGCUGCUAAUUGUACUACCAACACUUAGUAUUGGUUCCCUGGUGUUGUUAUGGUUUCUGCUCACUCUUUGGAAGAAAGGGUUGUUUUCGUCUUCACGAUGGGAUCUUGUGUCCAAGGUGUUUCCUAAUAGAAGAGAAGUGCAUACAGCCCCGUGCCAUGAUGAGAAGAAGCUGAAGAGAGUGUCAUACCAGGACAUUCUUAAAGCUACCAACUAG
rnacentral:rRNA from 1 species